rnacentral:lncRNA from 1 species
AGAAGCAACAGAAGUAAAGAAUGAUAGCUUUUUUGUGUAAAACAAAUAAUUACAUAUAAAGUAACAAAAUAGUUCCUCCCUACUUUCACAUUAGGAGUUUUAACAUUUAAAAUAAGUUAAAACAAUGAGUUAAUGUUUUGUGGUCAUCACAACAAGGAGUGAUAAAGAAAAAGGAGUAAUCCUAUAAUUUACGAGUACUGAAUGAAAUGGAAGAAAUUUUUCAAUGCAUAUUAUAACUAAAAUAUGAAAAAGGAAUUGUCACAGAAAUAUUCAUAGGAUGUGAAUAGAAAACAAAUAGUUCCUCUUCAUGUGCCAUGUAACCAAAAAAAGAAAUCGGAGUAUGUCUGUAAAAAAUAAGAAAUAUUGCAUUUCUCAGCACAGUGCAAGAUAAAAAUUUUUACUGAUUCAAAUCUUUCAAAGUGAAUGGGUUUCAAGUGUAUACAUAAACCAUUAUGAACCUCAAUUGUCUUCAUGAUAUCAAAAUUUCUUAAUAAAAAAUUUCAAUUGUUUGUCUUAAAAACACUCAUUAAUUCUCAACUUCAAAAAGCUGGUUAUUUAACAUAUAACAUGAAUAUGACAUGACAUUCUAGGCCAUCUGAACUGCUGCCUGACUAGAAAUUGUAUGUACAAUAUAUUUCAUGAUUAUCAGAUCAUUAAAAUCUAUUUGCUUAAGUACUAAAAUACAAUGUCAGUAACCUACUCUUGACCAACUGAUGAGCCCAGGUAAUUAACAGUAGAUAUUUAAUUACCUCCUCAUCACAAGAUUCUGGUAGAUAACUGACUUUAGUUUUUCAUGAUGUCUAAAAGCUAAUGGAUUAUCGCAUAAAAUUGGUAUAAAAGAUAACCAGAUAAGAAAAUGAAAAAUGUUUCAAUUUGUGUAAAUAUUUCAAUGGUAUUUUGAAGAAUAUGUUUCAUACAGGUUUAGUUCUUUAAUUUUAAUAUAAAUUGUUUUCUGGACUUUUUUUGAUUUUUCCUUUGUAAACAUAUUAAUUAUAUAUAGAUUCAUUAAUCCUUUUGUUCUUUAAUUCAUUUCACUUGAUUAAAUAGACUGGUCUUAAACUUUUUUUAACAAUAGACAAGCAAUAUUUUGUUAACAAAAUAAAAUUGUAAGUUCUAAGGGCUAUUUUUUUUAGUUAAGUGAUAUAUUUUUACAACUAUCAUGUAGACUUUGCAGAAGUUUUAUGUAUUUGACAUUUUACCUUCAAGUUGUAAGUUAAUUGAAUUCAAAAUUAUAUAAACAAAUUUAUAAAUACAUUUCAAAAUAAUAUCCAUGUUGAAUAUUGUUGGUAACAAAUCACUUUGAGUGCAAUACAAUAUUUGUAAACAGUUAUAACUUUAAGUAUUAAUUAAUUACUAUUAAGCUAAAGGACUAUGUAUCUAUUUCAUCUUAUUUAUUACUUACUAUAUGAGCAAUUAUACGUAAAAAUAUUAUUUUUCUAGAUGCUUUGUUUUAUAUUCUCAACUUUAAAACAGAAAUAUGCCAUUUUGUGAAGUUUGAACAAAUGAUGAUGCAAUUUUGCUGACAACUGAAAGAACAACCAUUCAAAAAUUGUAAACUUCAAAAAAAAAUGUAUACCUUUCAAUUAUUGUAUAAACAUUUGGAAAAUCUUUGGUGGUGAUCUCUUAAUGGUAACAAUAGUUGUUAAUGGCAAAAAUAGUAAACAAACAAAAUAUAAAAAAGACAGUAAAGUUUAUAAACAGUUGUAAGUAAAAAGUCUUUCAUCAACAGAUAAUAUUUCCCAAAAUAUAUGUACUGGUAUAUAUCUAACACAAUUAUAACUCAUUAUGAUAUAGAAUAAAGAAUUGAAGGACACUCUAUCCAGACCCACAUACAGAAUAAAGAAUUGAAGGACACCCCCAUCCAGACCCACAUAAAGAAUAACUUAAUUGUAAUGAUCUAUAUGAUAAGGUUGGUGUGUUUGAUAGGAUCAAUGUUAUAUUAAAUUCUUUAAUAAAUACUUCAGGACCAAGUAAAAAAGAAAAAACCAAUAUUGCACCUCAUCAGCAAUAAUAAAAAUAUAUUAAAAUAGAGACUUUAAAUAGCCAUGGAAACAGUCAUGGAUAAAUAUGAACACAGAGUAGAAAGAAUGUGAUCUUUGGCAAUAAAUAAAACAAAGAUGAUAUGUAAUUCAACAACAAAAACACAAUGAGGAAAUUUAUCUAAAUACAAAAAAUGUGUUGACUGUCUUUUAUAAAAAUUGAAUAAAGACAAGAUACUUAUUACCUUACAUUACAGUGAACUAUUUAAAACCAAAACCUGUGUGAACUACAAUCUUGUCUAUACUGAACUCUUUCUCAAGAAGUGUAGUUUAUUUUCUGUAGAAAUUAUACUUGUAUAAACUAAAAUACACAAAUCUCAGGUUUCUCUAACUAUGAAGCAUACUCAAUAUUUUCAAAUUUUCAAUUUCAAAAGUAAAAUGUUGAUAUCCAAAUACCAAAACAGAUUAAUUUGCCAAUGCCAUCAUUUCCAUUAUAGCAAAAAUUGUGGUCCUUUAAGAAUAAACCCUGCUCAAAAUACACUUUAAUCCAACACAUUUAUAAUCCUCACCAAGUCCUCAGUCUUAAAGCGUUUUUUGGUUAUGGACAGGUUUCACUUUUCUUCCCAGGAAUAUGCAAAUGGAUGUUUAUAUAGAAUAUUCUUUUGAUCUCGCUUCUUUCAUUGCUGAGAUUAAUGAGGAAAGCCUAUUAUAAUCAGAUUUCAACAUAUCAUUAUCUUCGAUAGGCAGAGGAUUCACAUCAAUAUUGGAAGACAAUUGCCUCCCUUCAUGUGACAAUUAAUUUAAAGCUUUUGAAUAUAAACGAAUUCCACUUCUAGGAAAUAUAGAACUAUAAGUAAAAUGGUCCUUUAAAAAUGAUAACACUAAAUUUCAAUGUUGAUGAAGAGUAGACACAUAAUUUGUCUUGUGACCCUAAAAAUCAGCUGCACAUAAAUUGUUAAUCAGAACACAGGAAAUCUAAAACUUGUAUUAAAUAAUUAUCUUUGUUUACAAAAAAAUAUUACUACACAAUUGCAUAGUCAAAAUGGACAGGCAUAAAAUUAAAAAUAUCAGAAACUUUAUAAAUGACUUGAAAUCUCAAUGGAUAAGACAGAAUGUUCUUUUAGAUACCAAGCUAAUUUUUCUAUUUAAUUUUUUCUCCCCUCUGCUAUCUAGUUCAAUGAAUUCAACAAUGUUUUAAACUUGCAACAAAAAUCUGAAAGUUACAGUUGUAUGAUUGCGGUGUUGUCAAAACUGCUACUUUAAUUAUCGUUAAUUUAAAUUUAAUUGGUCUUUAACUCUUUUUAUAAGUUAAACAAGUUGAGUAAUAGGACUCGAUGUAUCCUCCUAAAAAAAUUACUUAAUUUAUGAAUUGUUUCUAAACAAUAGUGAAAGUAAGAUAAUGAGAUUGAAAUUUCAAAACUGAGUCAGUCCAAACUCAGCUCUUUAGAAUACCUAUUACGCAAUCAUGAGCAAAACUUACUCUUUCAAUUUUCUCUGGGAAUGAGGAGCGAAAUGCACAUAGGGAUGCACAUAAAUGAGUAUUCAAUGAAUUUUUAAAUGCAGUUUCAAAUUGUUCAAAUCUUAUACAUAUUACGAGCAGAUGUAAGAUAAAGAUUUUAACCCUUUAGAUGAAGACCAAACAGAAGGAAUAUAGAGGUCACAGAAAAAC